rnacentral:rRNA from 1 species
UACGUAGGUGGCAAGCGUUGUCCGGAUUUAUUGGGUUUAAAGGGUGCGUAGGCGGCUUUGUAAGUCAGUGGUGAAAUAUGGCAGCUCAACUGUCAGGGUGCCAUUGAUACCGCGGAGCUUGAGUACAGAUGAGGUAGGCGGAAUUGACGGUGUAGCGGUGAAAUGCUUAGAUAUCGUCAAGAACACCGAUAGCGAAGGCAGCUUACUGGGCUGUAACUGACGCUGAGGCACGAAAGUGUGGGGAUCAAACAGG